GAAAAGCAUUCUCUUCUCUGGACAAAGCUCUAAUCUGCAAAAAGAUGACAAUUACCAGUCCAAUCAGACAACGUAAUCAUCAGCAUAAUAUGUUUAAGGACUGCAAUCUAUCAAAAAGAUAUUUAAAAGCUGGAGUAUAUACUAGACUGUUCUGAGAAGGGGAUUACAUCUAAUUUUACUUUAGUUCAAAGAAAUUCCGUAUCAAGCUAGUCAUGCACUUCCCCUGGAGAAAUCCCAAAUUACUAGGAAAAACAACAAACAGAAGAUAAAUGAUGCAUGAGAGUUACUGAAACAACAUGUAACCCACCAACCAAAAUAAAAAAAAGACGAGUUUCUACGUGGUUUUCUUCUUAUAUCUUAUAGCUAGCUACUCACAUUAAUUUCCAACAUGGAGGACAUAUACCUCCCCUACAUAAAGCGAGAAAAAAAUCCUAGAGAAAUCAUCAUAUAGUGAUAUGGUAUUAUACAACAAAUAAUACAUGCCUCGUGACCACAAUCACUUUGAAAGGGGGAGAGACAGCAAGAGAAACGGAUGAAGAGAAGUGGCGGAGAGGAAGCGCUAUAAUACAAAUCAGAUGUUUUUUGAUAGAAUACCAAUCAGAUUAGGUCUGUCCUGUAGUAAUAUAUAAAGGCUGUAUGCUCCCCCAUACAACAUUAAAGAAGGAGUAAAAAGGAGGAUGAAGGAUCUCUUUCAAUGUAUUCUUUCAAACUUGUUUAAUAUGACAAAGAAGGAUAAAUUUUCCGCAUUUUGUUUCAUAUUCUUGAUCUCUCGACUCUCAGUAGACACAUAGGUGACAAAAGCUACCACUAUCACUUAACUUAGCACAAUGUAAUCUGAGACCAUUGAAGAGGGAGUAAUAAUUAUUACCGCUUGACCGAAAAUUGAUCCAUUACACAGGCUUGGGAGACGACACCAACAACAGUAAACUGUACAUGCUAGUAAAGCAUGUUGUUAUCAAAGUACAUUAAGAGGGGAAAUAUGAAGCUAUGCUUUCACUAGAGUGAUAACUCCUGUGUGAUGCAAUAUUGCUUCCCUAAAGAUAAGAUUUUACACAUAAUCUUCCUGAACCGUGAUUCUUUGGAGUAAGCUAGUAGUGCCAGCGAGGUGGAAUGUCCACUACUGUGAAGAAUGAUAAGUUUUUAAGUACCCUAGAGACGCUUAGCUUUUUGACACAGAGCAAAACAAGAAAAGAGGAAGGCAUUGUCACAUUCCAAACAAAGAUUUUUCAGAAGAACUAAGUGAUCCAAAUAAUACCAUCAUGCCAAAAAUGGUAGAGAGAAUGCAUUAGAUACAAUACAUUCCUGCCAGAAUGUAUCAAUAUUCUCAUAGUGGCUACCUAAUGAAAAGGAACUUGACAAUAUAUUCUUUCAACGCACUGAAUUAUCUAUUUUCCAUAUUUCUUUAUGUAAAAAUUCUCUAGUUUAUUCAACAAUAAUAAUUUAUCUGACACAAAGAUAAUCAAUACAAGAAAAGAGGAAGGCAUUGUCACAUUCCAAAUCAAAGAUUUUUCAGAAGAACCAAGCGACCAAAUAAUACCAUCAUGCCAAAAAUGGUAGAGAGAAUGCAUUAGAUUCAAUACAUUCCUGUCAGAAUGUAUCAAUAUUCUCAUAGUGGCUACCUAAUGAAAAGGAACUUGACAAUAUAUUCUUUCAACGCACUGAAUUAUCUAUUUUCCAUAUUUCUUUAUGUAAAAAUUCUCUAGUUUAUUCAACAAUAAUAAUUUAUCUGACACAAAGAUAAUCAAUACAAGAAAAGAGGAAGGCAUUGUCACAUUCCAAAUCAAAGAUUUUUCAGAAGAACCAAGCGACCAAAUAAUACCAUCAUGCCAAAAAUGGUAGAGAGAAUGCAUUAGAUUCAAUACAUUCCUGUCAGAAUGUAUCAAUAUUCUCAUAGUGGCUACCUAAUGAAAAGGAACUUGACAAUAUAUUCUUUCAAUGCACUGAAUCAUCUAUUUUCCAUAUUUCUUUAUGUAAAAGUUCUCUAGUUUAUUCAACAUUAAUAAUUUAUCUGAUACAAAGAUAAUCAAUACAAAGCCAUGGAGGACAAAGAACUACAUCCUGUAACAAUAAUCGUGAGAUCAAAGAAGGCAGUGCGAGUAAGAUCUGUUCCAGCAUAAUUAAUCGCUCUAAAGCAUUCAUCUCCAGUCAAUGAAAAGGUCAAUUAGCCCCACAUUAAUAUUACUUAAACAGAAGUAUUCCAACACAUCUUGUAAUAGUAUAUGAAAUGUAUGCUCGCUUAUGGUAGCUAGUAUGGUCAAUAAGAUGCAACUGCAGUAAAAUCAUGUUUUUAGCUGAUAAAAAGUACUCCCUCCAUCCGAUAAAGUUGAGCCACUGCAUUUCUGGUCCACCCUUCAAGUUUUCCCUUCAAAAACUUGACUAAAUUUCUUUUUUUAGUUUUUCUUUUUAGGAGGAAAACUUGACCUAUUUCCAGAAUAGCAAACUUCCCCUCCAAUAAUUCAACCUAAAUAUUAACUAAUAAAGCCUUAUAAUAUUUCAAAUAAUCGCAUUAAUAUUGCAUUGAUAGUUAUCUACUCCCAUUAUGGUGGUAGUUACAUUUAUAGGGCCAUUUGUGGUGGUGAAAGUCGAAAUAGUAGUGAAAACGAGAGUUUCAGCCCUUUUAACUCAGUGGUGGAGUAACGCCAAGGUAAGGCGUUAGUAAUCGGUUCAAAUCCGCAAAGUGUCAGGUUAUUCAUAUUACAAAAACUUGACGUGAUAUCUUUUCACCUGAUUAAUCCUUUCUUGUAUUUCAAACAAUUUUUCUAAACAGUGUAUCUCAAAUUAUUAUUUACACCUCUAUCAAAUUCAAGAUAGUAAUCUAUUCAAACAUUUUACUGUUGAACUCUGAACAUGUCAAACUACGUAAUCUUUAAUGGAGGGAAGGGAGAAAUUUUCAGGAGUAUCCCACCAAUACCAACAUCGUUAAAUUCUACAAGAAGCCUCUACUAUAACGCAAGACUGAGGCUUUUCAACCAUAAUCGACCAAAUAUUAGACUAGCAACUCAAAGAGAUUUUGAAAUAGUCUGAGCUACUCACUAACCUUGGAACGAAGUGUGAUAAUGAAAUUAUUUGGUUGGAAUUUACCAGCAUUUCCUGGACUGUAUCCUGAUUCUUGUCAUUCAUGGCAUCAAAAUGUGUAGCAAGGGAGUUAUCUCCAUUUGUGAAUCCGUCAGGCCACUUGCAUGCACGGAAGUCCUUACAUGCCUGUGCAAAAAUUGGUGAGGGUGAAUUACAUAGGACUAGCAUAGAAGACAGAAUCAGUAAACUACUAUCACAUAAAUAUAUAUAUGUCUAUUAACUGCUUAAUAGAUAGGAAAACUUUUUGAAAGAACAAAAACUAAGUGUCCGAGCAUUCCAAACUCAGUAAAAAAUGAGAAAUGUUAUAAACUAGUGUAGUAAAAUGAACAGGCUCAGAACAGUGAAUGUGCAUCCAAAGCAACCACAGAAAGAAGAGUCACUAAGAUAGUUAAAUAAAAAAAAUGCAAAAGAAGACUCUUCUGGUCUUUGAGUAGUUCUCUAGAUUGGAUGGAUCAAUACUUGGAAAUUCUGUACUUGUUAGGGGGCAACAUGUAGUGUGACUGGGGGAGUAAUGUAGCUUUGCUUUGUACUUGUUUCUGUACCAUCUUGGUACCAGAUUAAUAGAAGACUUUACUUACCCAAAAAAAAUGCAAAAGAAAGAUGAGCAGUGGCUUGCAAAUGUCAACUAUUAUCCCCAUAUACAAACCUACCCCAUCAUACAGUGUACUUGAAGUCACCCCAAGGUAAUGGGCAUAUUUUCCUUGGACCAAUCAGGAAUCUUUUAUUGAUAAAAACGAAUUGCAAAGGAAUGCACAUCACUUCAGAGCACUGCGUGAGAUGGAACAUGGAAGAGCUAAUAAAUUGACUAAUUUUCAGGUGAAUUUCAGUCAUAACAAGGAGAGCUGUUC
rnacentral:lncRNA from 1 species